rnacentral:rRNA from 1 species
AGACCAAAGUGGGGGACCUUCGGGCCUCACACCAUCGGAUGUGCCCAGAUGGGAUUAGCUAGUAGGUGGGGUAAUGGCUCACCUAGGCGACGAUCCCUAGCUGGUCUGAGAGGAUGACCAGCCACACUGGAACUGAGACACGGUCCAGACUCCUACGGGAGGCAGCAGUGGGGAAUAUUGCACAAUGGGCGCAAGCCUGAUGCAGCCAUGCCGCGUGUAUGAAGAAGGCCUUCGGGUUGUAAAGUACUUUCAGCGGGGAGGAAGGCGGUGAGGUUAAUAACCUUGCCGAUUGACGUUACCCGCAGAAGAAGCACCGGCUAACUCCGUGCCAGCAGCCGCGGUAAUACGGAGGGUGCAAGCGUUAAUCGGAAUUACUGGGCGUAAAGCGCACGCAGGCGGUCUGUUAAGUCAGAUGUGAAAUCCCCGGGCUUAACCUGGGAACUGCAUUUGAAACUGGCAGGCUUGAGUCUCGUAGAGGGGGGUAGAAUUCCAGGUGUAGCGGUGAAAUGCGUAGAGAUCUGGAGGAAUACCGGUGGCGAAGGCGGCCCCCUGGACGAAGACUGACGCUCAGGUGCGAAAGCGUGGGGAGCAAACAGGAUUAGAUACCCUGGUAGUCCACGCCGUAAACGAUGUCGACUUGGAGGUUGUGCCCUUGAGGCGUGGCUUCCGGAGCUAACGCGUUAAGUCGACCGCCUGGGGAGUACGGCCGCAAGGUUAAAACUCAAAUGAAUUGACGGGGGCCCGCACAAGCGGUGGAGCAUGUGGUUUAAUUCGAUGCAACGCGAAGAACCUUACCUGGCCUUGACAUCCAGAGAACUUAGCAGAGAUGCUUUGGUGCCUUCGGGAACUCUGAGACAGGUGCUGCAUGGCUGUCGUCAGCUCGUGUUGUGAAAUGUUGGGUUAAGUCCCGCAACGAGCGCAACCCUUAUCCUUUGUUGCCAGCGAUUCGGUCGGGAACUCAAAGGAGACUGCCGGUGAUAAACCGGAGGAAGGUGGGGAUGACGUCAAGUCAUCAUGGCCCUUACGGCCAGGGCUACACACGUGCUACAUCAUGGCCCUUACGGCCAGGGCUACACACGUGCUACAAUGGCGCAUACAAAGAGAAGCGACCUCGCGAGAGCAAGCGGACCUCAUAAAGUGCGUCGUAGUCCGGAUUGGAGUCUGCAACUCGACUCCAUGAAGUCGGAAUCGCUAGUAAUCGUAGAUCAGAAUGCUACGGUGAAUACGUUCCCGGGCCUUGUACACACCGCCCGUCACACCAUGGGAGUGGGUUGCAAAAGAAGUAGGUAGCUUAACCUUCGGGAGGGCGCUUACCACUUUGUGAUUCAUGACUGGGGUGAAGUCGUAACAAGGUAACCGUAGGGGAACCUGCGGUUGGAUCACCUCCUUACC